UACGGAGGGAGCUAGCGUUGUUCGGAAUUACUGGGCGUAAAGCGCGCGUAGGCGGCUUUGUAAGUUAGAGGUGAAAGCCCGGGGCUCAACUCCGGAAUUGCCUUUAAGACUGCAUCGCUAGAAUCCGGGAGAGGUGAGUGGAAUUCCGAGUGUAGAGGUGAAAUUCGUAGAUAUUCGGAAGAACACCAGUGGCGAAGGCGGCUCACUGGACCGGUAUUGACGCUGAGGUGGCGAAAGCGUGGGGAGCAAACAGG
rnacentral:rRNA from 1 species